UACGGAGGGUGCAAGCGUUAUCCGGAUUCACUGGGUUUAAAGAGUGCGUAGGCGGACAGGUAAGUCAGUGGUGAAAUCUCCGAGCUUAACUCGGAAACUGCCUUUGAUACUCUCUGUCUUGAAUAUGGUGGAGGUAAGCGGAAUAUGUCAUGUAGCGGUGAAAUGCUUAGAGAUGACAUAGAACACCUAUUGCGAAGGCAGCUUACUACGCCUAUAUUGACGCUGAGGCACGAAAGCGUGGGGAUCAAACAGG
rnacentral:rRNA from 1 species